AGAUUACUAGCAAUAAAAAGAUGUCCGAGAUUCUUAUUCCUAUUCAUCCUAUUACUAAGAAUGUGUUAUUCCUGUGUUUGGUUUGCACGGUUAUAUUAUUUAGUCAUAUUAUUUAAGCUUACAAAAAAUAUACAACUAAUUUAUUUAUUUCUUUAAUUAAUUUUAGAUAAUGCCACCAAAAAUAUCAACAUCUUUUUAGAAAAAGGGAGAGAGAGAACAUAGGUUAGAGAGAGAGAGCAUAAUUAAAGAAAUAAGAAGAGAAAUAGAGUUGAGAUUAGAGGGAGUGAGAGAGUUGAGAUUUUAGAAAAAGAGGGGAAAAGAGAGCUUAGUUUAGAGAGAGAAAAAGAGUUGAAGUUUAGAGAGAAAAAAUAGGUUUAGAGAGAGAUAUGAGGUUAGAGUGUAAAGAAAAAUAAUACCAACUAGCCGGCGGCGGAUAGAGAGAAAGAAAGAGAUUAGACAUAUUAUGAUUAUCCCAAUCCAUUAAUAUGAUGAUACUCACCCUCCCUCAAGGGAAUGAAAUUAGUACUUUGGGAUUAAUCUUAUUCCCAAGUAAAUCUAAUAUUACCAACUAGAUUAAUUAGUGCGUUUAGCCAAACACCGUCAUAUUUUGUUAUUCCUUUUGGAUUAUUAGGAAUCUUAAAAAGAUAGCGCGAACCAAACGCACCCUUAGAGUUACGGAGUUUGAUCGAAUAUUAUAUUAUUACUUUGAUGAUCUUUCUU
rnacentral:lncRNA from 1 species